rnacentral:rRNA from 1 species
GACGAACGCUGGCGGCGUGCCUAAUACAUGCGAGUUGAGCGCUGAAGGUUGGUACUUGUACCGACUGGAUGAGCAGCGAACGGGUGAGUAACGCGUGGGGAAUCUGCCUUUGAGCGGGGGACAACAUUUGGAAACGAAUGCUAAUACCGCAUAAAAACUUUAAACACAAGUUUUAAGUUUGAAAGAUGCAAUUGCAUCACUCAAAGAUGAUCCCGCGUUGUAUUAGCUAGUUGGUGAGGUAAAGACUCACCAAGGCGAUGAUACAUAGCCGACCUGAGAGGGUGAUCGGCCACAUUGGGACUGAGACACGGCCCAAACUCCUACGGGAGGCAGCAGUAGGGAAUCUUCGGCAAUGGACGAAAGUCUGACCGAGCAACGCCGCGUGAGUGAAGAAGGUUUUCGGAUCGUAAAACUCUGUUGGUAGAGAAGAACGUUGGUGAGAGUGGAAAGCUCAUCAAGUGACGGUAACUACCCAGAAAGGGACGGCUAACUACGUG